rnacentral:lncRNA from 1 species
UGUGUAAGGAGUUGGGGCAGCGGGUGUAUAGAGGCAGCAGGAAAGGGUACAAUGAGGAAACUUUAAAAUAAGGUAUAUUAUACCUUGAAUACCAGGAUAUGGAGUUUGGACUUUAUCAUGAAUGCAGCAGAGAGACCUCCAAGGGUUUUGAAGAGGGUAGUGUCAUCACCAAGAGCAGGAUGAAGAGGGACUGGAUGGAGACUGAAGUGAAGGAGAGCAGUUAGGCUGUUGUAAUAGACCAGAUGAAAGGUGAUGUGGACUACAUUCGUGUAAAAGCAUAGGGAAUUAACACUUUCAUUCAGCCCGUACAUCGAGGACCUACUAUGUACAAAUAAUUAUACUAGAUUCUUGGAUGUCAAGAUUCAGUUAUUCUGUAAGUAAAGAUAAAAAGAGACCCUGGAGCGGAAGUUUUGGUAUACUCCAAGAUCUUAGACUUGUUCUUUUUCUUUGAGAUGGGGUCUCACUCUGUCACCCAGGCUGCAGUGCAGUGGCAUGAUAUCAGCUCACUGCCACCUCUGUCUUCUGGGCUCAAGCAAUUCUCCCAUCUCAGCCUCUCGAGUAGCUGGGACCACAGGCGUGCCCCACAACACCCAGCUAAUUUUUUUUUGUAUUUUUGGUAGAGAUGGGGUUUUGCCAUGUUGCCCAGGCUAGUCUCAAACUCCUGGACUUAAGCAAUGCCCCCUACCUCUGACCUCCAAAGAUUACAGGAAUUACAGGUGUGAGUUUGACUUGUUCUUGAUUGGACAGAGAUGCCAUUGACAGGAUAAAAAUAACCACCAACAUUUAGCGAGCUUAUUAUGGCUGGGCAUUGUUUUAAACAGAUUAUAAGCAUGAUCUUCACAACAAUGUCAUGAGUUAAUUACUGUUAUCUCCAUUUUAUUUUAUUUUAUUUUAUUUUAUUUGUGAGACAGAGUCUUGCUCUGUCGCCCAGGCUGAAGUGCAGUGGCGCCAUCUCGGCUCACUGCAGUCUCUACCUCCUGAGUUCAAGUGAUUCUUGUGCCUCAGCCUCCCAAGUAGCUGGGAUUACAGGCGUGCAUCAUUACACCUGGCUAAUUUUUGUAUUUUUAGUAGAGAUGGGGUUUCACCAUGUUGGUCAGGCUGGUCUCAAACUCCUGACCUCAAGUGAUCUGCCCGCCUUGGCCUCCCAAAGUGCUGGUAUUACAGGUGUGAACCAUUGCAUCCCACCUAUUUUUUAUUUUUUGAGGCAGGGUCUUGCUCUGUCAUCCAGGCUGGAGUGCAGUGGUCUAAGCACAGCUCACUUCAGCCUCAACCUCCUGGGCUCCAGCCAUCCUCCCACCUUAGCCUCCCAAGUAGCUGUGACCACAGGUGCACACCAUCACACUCUGCUAAUUUUUGUUUUGUUUUGAGAUAGGGUUCUCACUGUGUCACCUGGGCUCAAGUACAGUGGUGUGAUCAUAGCUCACUGUAGCCUCGAACUCCUGGGCUUAAGCGAUCCUCUUAGCCUCCCAAAGUGCUGGGAUUACAGGUGUGAACCACUGUGCCCAGCCUCCAUUUUUUUCCAGUUGAAGAAACUAAGGCUUAAAGAGGCUUAAAUAAUUUGUCCAAGGAUUCACAUUUAACUAAGUAGUUAGGAUUGCACUCAGAUUUGUCCUACUCUAGAGGCCAAACCCUUUAGACACUAUACUAUAACAGCUCUUAGAACUAGAGAAGUUGGCAAGAGCAGGUUUUGUUUUUAAGAUAUAUUGACUUUAGAGACACGAAUUGUUUCUAUUCUUCAUAGGAAAGUACUAGUUCAGAAUAUAGCAGUAGCCCAAAGGAUGGUAGUGGUUAAUCUGGAAAAAUGGAAAAGGAAUUCAGGAAAGACUUAAUAAAGGGCAUGUGAUACUUGAAAGAUGAGUAGUUGAUAUACUGAAAGUGGCAACGACAUUCCUAUUAGAACAGCAUGACAAAGGACAUUCCUAUUGGAAAGAACAGCAUGACAAAGGUACAGGGGCAGAAAGCGGCAUAAUAUGUUAGGUAAAUGAAAAAGUAGUUAAGUGUGGCUGAAAUGUAGGAGGCAAAGCAGGGAGCUGAUACUAGCAGGGCAGAUUAUGAAAGACCUUUUAUCACACAUAUUCAGUAGGUCCUUUUCAAUGCCAAAUGGUUCAUUUUGCUUGGGCAGAAGUGAACUGACCAGCUCCUAAAUAAGCAUGUCAAGCUCAUUUAGCAUGUCAGCUUGUUUUGUGGGAUGAUCUCACCCUUGCCCCUGAAAUUCCAGCUUCCAACUGAGUGGCUGAAGAUAAGUGGACUAGAGUUUGGAACAGAUCUAGAUUAGCUUCUAGAGGUUCCAUUUGUCAAAUGAGAAGUCUACCCUUCCAUUUUCCUUUCCAGUAGAAUAAAUAAUGCUUGGAAACCUCUUGGGUGGGAGGGGGAGGGGAGGAAAAGUAAACUUUUGUUUUGAUUUUUGUAGCCCUCCCAGGCCCAAUACUUCAAAGCAUCCUACCUCUGCUCAAUAUAUAUUACUUGGAGAGGAUUGAGGAAACUGCCCUCAAGAAAGGCCUCUCAACUCAGGCCAUCUGGCGCCGACUCUGGGAUGAACUGAUGAAGACAAGGCCUUCCAGUUUGGAAGUAAGUUAAGGUAUCAGGUAGAAUGCUAGCCUGAUUUUGCAUGGUAAAAGCAGGAAUAGCACACAAACACAAGCUGGGUACUGAUAAAGUGCAGAGGCAAUGAUGGAAUGGAUUUGGGAGGAGGGCUCUGAUGGCUUGUCACAAGGUUUUGGUCCAUUUGGCAUUUGUCACUGAAUUGCUUGCUCACUGUAUUUGCAGGGGACACAAAACAGGGAAAGUUAGUGAUCACAAUGGAUGGCAGAGCCAGGAUUCCUAGAGUUCUUGAUGGUGUUGGUGCAGUGGUCAAAUCUAACAAAAUGAAAUUUAAUAGAAUACACCAAUACUUCAAUGAGUUUUAAAAGUUCCAAUUGCAUGGUAUCGGGAUGAGGGAUAAAGGAGUAUGAUUAGUAACAGCUUGUAUAAAAAAGAUUAAGGGAGUUUAGUCAACAAUGUGUUGAAGCCACUUAUAACGACUAUACCUUGAGCUGUGUGAACUAAUGUAAAUAUAGUAUAGGCUGAAGGACAAGGUGGACAACAGUCCUGCCUAGCUCUGCAAUGGUCAGGCUACCCGUGGAGAUUGGAGAAAGUCAAAGCCACAUUAUGUGAGUCACAUUGGGACAACUGGAGAUGUUUUUCCUGAAAAAGAGAAGACUUGGGAAACAUGACCCAUCUUGAAAUAUAUGAAUGGCUGUCACAUGAAGGAGGGAUUAAUAGACUUGUUCUGGAUGGAAGCUAAUGGAAGAUACAUUUUUGCUAACCUGAAGUUUACGUAAAGCUUAAACCCUGAGCUUAUGAAACAAGCUAAUUCUAGAGGUAAUAAACUUCCCAUCACUAAGUUCAAA